GUGGGGUGGGAGUCUGCCUUUUGUACAGCCGGUGGUAUCGUGUUGCUUUGGGCAUCCCUGUGGCUGAAUUCCUGCAGUACACUCGGUGCCUGUUUCCUAAUCUGCAGAACUGGAAUGAUGUUAACCAUCCCGCAGUGCAUUCCAUGCUGCAUCCUCGCCUAGAAUUGAGUGGAAGCAAGUCCAUCUCAGAAGGGACAUACCUGAAGAGAAAUGGCUUUCCAGACUCUGAAGGGCAGAGAAAGCACCAGCCUGGGUUAGAGAAAGAGAACAGCAUCUCUGAGCCCAUCCUGGGUGACCUCACAGAGAUCACCCUAGUGGCCCAGGCUAGUGACAGGGAACAUGUACCUUCCUGCAGCCAACCCCAGACGUCCACUGAUGUAUCAUAU